UUUGAUUCGAGCCUCAUCAUCAGCUCCACAUUGCAAAAAAGAAAAGGGCUUCAAGUUUCACGUGUGGAAUUACAUUGACAACUAUGAAGGAUCUCCAACACGUUUCCAGAGUGAUAAACCCAGGCAUGAAGGGCACGAGGAUCUGACAGCGUUUAAACAGACAAUGGCUAAAAUAACGGCAGUCAGUGUGCACUGAAAUCAGACUAUCUAUACAAACACAUGAAGGUUGUGGGUACUCAGGAUGGGCUUACAUGACCUCUGAUUGCCAGACUUGCCAUUUUCUGCAAUCAUAUC